AAAAACAAAAAAACGGGACAGCUUUUAACUGAAAGCAGUCUGGUCAGCAAUAGACUGGAACUACUCCUGAAAAAGCAGCAGCUGGUAAACCUGCAUUGCAAAAGUUAUCUUAGUACAUAUAUUCAGUAGUUCUGAGAGGGUUGAGAGAUCAAAUAAUUCACACUAAAGUUCAAGUAGAGAAAUGGCCAACACCAAGAAAACACUGGACCACUUAAAAGAUCACUUUAGGGUCAGGAACACAAACAUGUAUUCCGGACCCUAUAGUGUUAAACCCACCAUUAAGGUGGUUUGCCACCCUAUAAAAGUUUUUUUCAUUAUAUCCAG